GAUAACAGGAGGAAACUCCUGCUAAUACCGCAUAGCCAUGAGCACCGCAUGGAGCUCAUGCCAAAUAUCCUUUCGGGGAUAGCGCAGGGAUGGACCUAUGGCGCAUUAGCUGGUUGGCGGGGCAACGGCCCACCAAGGCAACGAUGCGUAGCCGGCCUGAGAGGGCGGACGGCCACAUUGGGACUGAGACACGGCCCAGACUCCUACGGGAGGCAGCAGUAGGGAAUUUUCGGCAAUGGGGGAAACCCUGACCGAGCAACGCCGCGUGAGCGAAGAAGGCCUUCGGGUCGUAAAGCUCUGUUGUAAAGGAAGAACGGCGCAUACAGGAAAUGGUAUGCGAGUGACGGUACUUUACCAGAAAGCCACGGCUAACUACGUGCCAGCAGCCGCGGUAAUACGUAGGUGGCGAGCGUUAUCCGGAAUCAUUGGGCGUAAAGAGGGAGCAGGCGGCCGCAAGGGUCUGUGGUGAAAGACCGAAGCUAAACUUCGGUAAGCCAUGGAAACCGGGCGGCUAGAGUGCGGAAGAGGAUCGUGGAAUUCCAUGUGUAGCGGUGAAAUGCGUAGAUAUAUGGAGGAACACCAGUGGCGAAAGCGACGGUCUGGGCCGCAACUGACGCUCAUUCC
rnacentral:rRNA from 1 species